rnacentral:rRNA from 1 species
GCCCACCCCGCGCCGCCGCCGCCUAACCUCUUCAAAGCCCGCGCGCCGCUGCCCCCAACAACCACGGGCGUCGCCGUCCCCGGCAACCCCGGGCAUCGCCGUCCUCGGCAACCACCUGAGCCGCCGCCUCGGCAACCCAAGGGACCGCCGACACCGGCCUUCUCCCGCGAUGCCGCCGCCAGCCUCCUCCCGCGGCGCCACCGCCGGCCUCUGCCACUACGUGCAGUCGCGGCCCCCGCCGGCGCGCGAUCCGCAAUCACGCGACGCGUCGGCCCCAGCCACCGCGCGCGCCGGAAGCUAUAUCCAUCCCCCCUCCACUCCAACCAUCGCCUCAACGACUGGCGCAACAUUUCCUCUGCUCCGGCACGACCUUCCCCCCAUCCGGCGUGACCUUCCCUCCCCACCGGCGUGGACUGCCCUCUGCUCCGGUGUGCCCUCCCGCACCUCCACAGACCCAUCCCCAUCCUCCCUCGAACAUCUUCCUCCCGCCUACAGCCACCUGUGCCAACUCUACCCACUGCAUCUUCCUCCUUCCUCCCGCCGUUCAACUACAGCAACUCGCACCGUUCAACUAAAUCACCUAAUGCCUCCCAUCUCUAUUUUUCUCCUCAGCCAGCAGCGGAAACGCCGGCAACCGAGCCGUCUCCUCUAGAUGCUCUGCGUGCAGCCGCUGGCUUCUCGCACGAUGGACUUCCUCCCGCGCAGCCUGUGACCUCCUUACUCCCGGGCGGCUGCUAGCCAGCACUUGCAAAGUUGCAAUCUCGCCCACACAUUGUCCGAUGCCGCUUCAGACCCCUUUGGUACCGUUGCUUGAGAGCCCUGUGGUGUUGCUGCAAUUGCUUCAAAUUUUGACUUGUGCUACUACAUGUCUACUGGUUCCUUCCUCCAUCUGAUGUCGCUGAUGCUGCAGUUGUUCAACAUCACGCGGUUGUAGAGGGUACAUGGCAGGUCGAGUAGAUUUCUCAUGGUCGUUCGAAUAGAAAAUGGCAGCGACAUCGCGAUGGUCGGCGUCUAGAAUGCAUGGUCAAAACUAAAGUCUGAGUGUUGCUAGGUACAUUCAGAGUAAGACAUUUACAUUUUUUUUCAGGAAGACAUUUGUAAGUCUGAACAUAGUAUUCCCUUUAAAAAGAACUACAUCUCGUCAGACCACUUAUAUUCUUCUUCAGUAAAACAAGAUGAGUGCACUAACAUAUGUUGGCCUGGGAUGCAUCCAUGUGGAAUUGUAUGAAAAAAGGAAGGAACUGUCUAGGUGGAUGAGAAGUUCAAGUUGAAAUCUCCCCUACAGACACUUUGAUUUUUAUUUCCAUGUAUUCAGUUUUUAGAUGUUCUACAGUCUCUGAACAAAAUCUGUUCUUGUUUCAUCCACAGAACUUAUUUACAGUCCUUGAUCAGCAAUCACACUUUAAAUUUUACUAUUUCUGCAUUACACAAAAAAUGAAGGUGCCCUCCUAGCCAUGGUGAAAUCUUCCACAUCCCUGAUGAACAGCGGCAACCUCGAUUUACGACUCGCAGGUUUGCAAUCGUCCCAUGGUAAAGUUUUUGUUCCAAGUUUCUGUUCACAUGACAUUAUUUUUAUUGACAUUGUGGUAGGGAAAAAUAGUAUGUUUUUAUCGAAAAUCCUUGGGCGCUACUGUGGACUUGAGUAUCCUACGUAGGCAUGAUAUUCAAUAUUUACUUUAAUUAAAGUUCCAGUUUUAAGAGAAAAACAAGAUACCCUGCUCAUUUACCUAACUAUUACUCCCUCCGUUCCUAAAUAUAAGUCUUUGUAGAGAUUUCACUAUGAACCACAUACGGAUGUAUAUAGAUGCAUUUUAAGUGUAGAUUCACUCAUUUUGCUCCGUAUGUAGUCCACCUAGUGAAAUCUCUACAAAGACUUAUAUUUAGGAACGGAGGGAGUACAUUGAGAUACUGAACCACUUCAUCCUCAAUGCUCGUGCCCGAUCCCAACCUGCUGUCCCCAAAGACCGCAUAUACAUUGCAGUGCCCCUGCCCGUGCGCCACUGCCGUAACCUGCACCCUGCAAAAAAAAUGCAAGUUCAGAUUCAAAUAAACAAGAAGUUAAAAAGGUAUUGCCUUCACUCAUGUUGUUUUGCCAACGAUCUUUAGUUUGUUCAGUAGCUCGUAAACAAUUGCCAAAAGCUCGUAACUUCAGAAUCAUAAGUUGAUAGUUUGCCAACAGGGACAACCAUGCUGAUGGUGAUUGAAUAACGAUUCUGAAUUAUUGUUAUUGAGACUGAAGGCCACGUUUUAUGCAUGAUGUGGCAGGAUUCCAGGGAUUGUUUUGAGGCGGUCGAUGGCUUUUGAGAGAUGUGUUCAUACUUAUAAGUUUGAAGGUGUUCAAAGCUCAUUUAUACAAGGAGGAACGGAAAUUUGGUUGCACAUCUGUUUGCGAAAAAGAGCACUAAAACUAGAUGUACUUUCUAUUUCUUUAUUUGUAACCCCCUACCUACCUGAUAGAGACUAUUCAAUUAGAGUUAGUUUUGCCUCAAUAAUGCAGUGGCAAGACAUUAGUUUUUAAAAGAAAGACUAGGUGC